UACCUUAAGACAAAAAUAAUUUAAGGCAAGCCCUGCCCAGUGAAAUCUUCAACGGCCGCGGUAUCCUAACCGUGCAAAGGUAGCAUAAUAACUUGCCUAUUAAUUAUAGGAUAGAAUGAAAGGGUAAACGAAAUAGGAGCUGUCUCUAUUAGCCCAAUGAAAAUUAUUUUUUAACUGAAGAAAGUUAAAUUCAACUGAAGGACAAGAAGACCCUAUAGAGCUUAAUUUAACUUACUAAAUAAGUAAAAAUUAAAUUCGGUUGGGGCGACCGAUGCUCUACAAAUCAUCACCCACAAAAAGAAAUAUACAUCUCAAAAAAGACCCUAACCCAGAUCAAAAAAACAAGCUACCUUAGGGAUAACAGGCUAAUCUCAUUAAUGAGUCCCCAUCUAUAAUGUUGGUUGGCACCUCGAUGUUGGCUUAGGGAAUCAAAAGGGCGCAGAAGCUUUUUAAGACGGUUUGUUCAACCAUUAAACCCCUA
rnacentral:rRNA from 1 species